rnacentral:tRNA from 1 species
GCUUGGGUAACUCAGUUGGUAGAGAAUCAGUCUUUUAAUCUGAGGCUCCAGAGUUCAAGUCCCUUUUCAGGCU